GAUGAACGCUGGCGGCGUGCCUAAUACAUGCAAGUCGAGCGAACAGACGAGGAGCUUGCUCCUCUGACGUUAGCGGCGGACGGGUGAGUAACACGUGGAUAACCUACCUAUAAGACUGGGAUAACUUCGGGAAACCGGAGCUAAUACCGGAUAAUAUAUUGAACCGCAUGGUUCAAUAGUGAAAGACGGUUUUGCUGUCACUUAUAGAUGGAUCCGCGCCGCAUUAGCUAGUUGGUAAGGUAACGGCUUACCAAGGCGACGAUGCGUAGCCGACCUGAGAGGGUGAUCGGCCACACUGGAACUGAGACACGGUCCAGACUCGUACGGGAGGCAGCAGUAGGGAAUCUUCCGCAAUGGGCGAAAGCCUGACGGAGCAACGCCGCGUGAGUGAUGAAGGUCUUCGGAUCGUAAAACUCUGUUAUUAGGGAAGAACAAAUGUGUAAGUAACUAUGCACGUCUUGACGGUACCUAAUCAGAAAGCCACGGCUAACUACGUG
rnacentral:rRNA from 1 species